rnacentral:rRNA from 1 species
AGAGUUUGAUCCUGGCUCAGGACGAACGCUGGCGGCGUGCUUAACACAUGCAAGUCGAACGGGGUGUUUAUUUCGGUAAACACCAAGUGGCGAACGGGUGAGUAACGCGUAAGCAAUCUACCUUCAAGAUGGGGACAACACUUCGAAAGGGGUGCUAAUACCGAAUGAAUGUAAGAGUAUCGCAUGAGACACUUACUAAAGGAGGCCUCUGACAUAAGCUUCCGCUUGAAGAUGAGCUUGCGUCUGAUUAGCUAGUUGGUGAGGGUAAAGGCCCACCAAGGCGACGAUCAGUAGCCGGUCUGAGAGGAUGAACGGCCACAUUGGGACUGAGACACGGCCCAGACUCCUACGGGAGGCAGCAGUGGGGAAUCUUCCGCAAUGGGCGAAAGCCUGACGGAGCAACGCCGCGUGAACGAUGAAGGUCUUAGGAUCGUAAAGUUCUGUUGUUAGGGACGAAGGGUAAGAAUCAUAAUAAGGUUUUUAUUUGACGGUACCUAACGAGGAAGCCACGGCUAACUACGUGCCAGCAGCCGCGGUAAUACGUAGGCGGCAAGCGUUGUCCGGAAUUAUUGGGCGUAAAGGGAGCGCAGGCGGGAAACUAAGCGGAUCUUAAAAGUGCGGGGCUCAACCCCGUGAUGGGGUCCGAACUGGUUUUCUUGAGUGCAGGAGAGGAAAGCGGAAUUCCCAGUGUAGCGGUGAAAUGCGUAGAUAUUGGGAAGAACACCAGUGGCGAAGGCGGCUUUCUGGACUGUAACUGACGCUGAGGCUCGAAAGCUAGGGUAGCGAACGGGAUUAGAUACCCCGGUAGUCCUAGCCGUAAACGAUGGAUACUAGGUGUGGGAGGUAUCGACCCCUUCCGUGCCGGAGUUAACGCAAUAAGUAUCCCGCCUGGGGAGUACG